AUCUGGUUGAUCUCCAUAUCAUAUGCUUGUCUCAAGAUUAACAUGAUGUUAAGUAAACAUCUAUACAGAAACUGCGAAUGCAUUAAUCAGUUAUCGUUAUUGAUAGUACUUGCUAAUUGGCUACGCUGGCAAUUCUAGAGCUAAUACUGCAUUCAAGCCCAACCUCUGGAAGGCUGUAUUUAUUAGAUAAAAAUCAACAUCAUAGAAGAUUCAUAAUAAUUGUCGAAUCGCAUGGCUCGGCCGGCGAUGGUUCAUUCAAAUUUUGCCCUAUCAACUUUCGAUGGAGGAUAGAGGCUACCAUGGUUUCACGGGUAACGGGGAAUAAGGUUCGGUUCCGGAGAGGGAGCCUGAGAAACGGCUACCACAUCCAAGAAGGCAGCAGGCGCGAAUUACCCAAUCCGACACGGGGAGUAGUGACAAUAAUAACGAUACAGGGCCUUUUGGGUCUUGUAAUUGAAUGAGUACAAUGUAAUACCUUAACGAGGAACAAUUGGAGGGCAAGUCUGUGCCAGCAGCCGCGGUAUUCCAGCUCCAAAGGUAUAUUAAGUUGUUGCAGUUAAAAGCUCGUAGUUGAAUUUUGGGGUGGCCCCAGGAGGUCCACUUUUUGUGAGUAUUUUGGGACUGCCUUCCAUGGCAACCUCUUUUUGGAGGGGCCAUAUUACUUUGAGUAAAUGAGAGUGUUCAAAGCAGGCAGCGCUUGAAUCUUUAGCAUGGAUAAUAAAAUGGACGAUGAUUCUAUUUGUUGGUUUCUAGGACAUCGUAUGAUUAAUAGGGACGGUCGGGGCAUUAGUUUCAGUUGUAGAGGUGAAAUUCUUGAUUUCUGAAGACUAACUACUGCGAAAGCAUUGUCAAGGAGUUUUCAUUAAUCAGAACGAAGUUAGGGGAUCGAAGAUGAUCAGAUACUGUAGUCUUAACCAUAACUAUGCCGACUGGAUUGGGCGACGCCUCAUGUUAUGACGGCCCAGCACUUACGAGAUCAAAGUUUUGGGUUCUGGGGGGAGUAUGGUCGCAAGGCUGAACUUAAGGAUUGACGGAAGGGCACCACCAGGAGUGGAGCCUGCGGCUUAAUUUGAUCACACGGGAAACACCAGGUCCAGACACAAUAAGGAUUGACAGUUGAGCUCUUUCUUGUUUUGUGGGUGGUGUGCAUGGCCGUUCUUAGUUGGUGGAGUGAUUUGUCUGCUUAAUUGCGAUACGAACGAGACUUAGCUUUUAUUGCGCAAGCUACUAUGUUGGUUUUGGCUAUAAAGGACUAUCGAAUUCAAGUCGAUGGAAGUUUGAGGCAUACAGUCUGUGAUGCCUAGACGUUCUGGGCGCCGCGCGCUCCUGACGGAGCCAGCGAGUUUACCUUAGCGAGGGUUGGGAAUCUUGGAACUCGUCGUGCUGGGAUAGAGCAUUGUAUUUUUGCUCUUCACGAGGAUUCUAGUAAGCGCAAGUCAUCAGCUUGCGUUGAUUAGUCCUGCCUUGUACACCGGCCCGUCGCUAUACCGAUUGAAUGGCUUGUGAGGCUCUGGAUUAGUUUGGGAGUGGGGCAACCAUUGCUAAGCUGAGAUGGUCACUGUCAUUUAGGGAGUAAAGUCGUAACAGGUUUCCGUAGGUGAACUGCGGAGG
rnacentral:rRNA from 1 species